rnacentral:sRNA from 1 species
CCAGAUGAAUGUUUCUUGUUUUAGUUAUGAAUGUGGUGAAUCCCAUCUAAGCGAUGGGGCGUCUGGUUAACUGCUAUGUGCAGGUAUGCACGCGACUUUGACGACCAGAGAUAAGUCACCGGGAGGCACCCGGCGCCACAUCCUCAAAAAAAACGUUUUGUCGACCACCAGGUUCUGAAUCG